UAUCUCUGUAGAGUCUGCAUAUCAAUAAGCGGAGGAAAAGAAACUAACAAGGAUUCCCCUAGUAACGGCGAGUGAAGCGGGAAGAGCUCAAAUUUGAAAUCUUCAAGGUUUGACCUUGACGAAUUGUGGUUUAAAGAAGUGUUUUCGGUUAGAGGAGUAGUAAAAGUUCUUUGGAAUAGGACAUCAUAGAGGGUGAGAAUCCCGUAUUUGACUAUUCUUUCUAGCUUUGUGAUACACUUUCAAAGAGUCGGAUUGUUUGGGAAUGCAGUCCAAAAUGGGUGGUAAAUUUCAUCUAAAGCUAAAUAUUGGCGAGAGACCGAUAGCGAACAAGUACCGUGAGGGAAAGAUGAAAAGAACUUUGAAAAGAGAGUUAAACAGUACGUGAAAUUGUCAAAGGGGAAGCGUUUGACACCAGUGUUGUUUUUCCGAAAAUCAAUUAAAAAUUGAUUCAUGCCAGGUUGUAUUGACCUUAUCAGCUUGCAAUUUGGUUUUGGGUCUCUUUUUGAUGCACUUUUCGGUUAACAAGUCAACAUCAAUUUCCUUUGCUGUAAAAAGGUAAGAGGAAGGUGGCUUCAAUUUCGGUUGAAGUGUUUAUAGCCUUUUAUCUCUGCAGUCGGGGAGAUUGAGGUCUGCAGCGUAGAUCCUUCGGGGCUAGAUACAUUUAUGCUAAGUUAUAGCUUUUCAUAGACAACUUGUUGACUAUGUUUAGUCAUGUAGCUUACUCGUAAGUGCUAUUUUACCUACGCUUAGGAUGUUGAGCGCAUGUCUCUCUCU
rnacentral:rRNA from 1 species